rnacentral:lncRNA from 1 species
UUUUUUUUUUUUUUUUUAUUUGUUAUGUUGCAGCAAUUACACUGUAAAAGUGCUGCCCAAGAUUGAUUGCUCUGAUCUGUAGUUCAAUUGUAAAUUAGAAUACACAUCCCCCCAGGGACACACGGCCCCUAUUUGUGAUUAAGAAAAAAGCCCCAUAAUAGACUAAUAGCUAAAGUUCUCUCUCUUUUACUUUCAGGCAAUUAGCUUGAUGAAAUGGCCUCUUUUUGUGUACCCUGGAAGUGUAAACCGAUAUCAUAAUGAAGUAUAUGAUGUUUAUUCUAUUAUUUUCACCUUGCCGGGUAUGCAGGAAUGCAUAAGUAAUGGCUGCUUUGUCUGGUACAUUUACUGAUUCACAAGUAAACUAUUUCUUAAAGAUGCAGUGUGUGCAUUCUGAGGCUUGAGGUAAGCAACCCCUAGCUGCGGGUUAACCCCCGUGGAAAGGACUCUCCACUCAAGAGGAGAAAAAGAAAUUUUCCAAGUGGUGGUGAGAGCAGGAUUCUGACAUUCAAGAGCCAUUCAGCUGCUGGGCGGCUCUGGGGUGGAUAUGGUGACAAGGUACACACACACGGCAACACUGAGAAUCAAGGAAGAUCCCAGGGCACUUUGGCUAAGUGUCUUGUGGUGACUUUGUGCCAGUAAGACCAUAAUGUGUGCUUCACCUCCCCUGAUUCAUUUUGGACCACCAACUGUCUCUCUUCUUGGGUGGUUAAAGCUAACCCUACAGGGGUAUGACAGAGCCAUGUUUAAGUGGAUGGCAGCCAUCUCCCCACCAAAAAAGUCUUGUCAUUUCAAGAUCCAAAACUUUGAAAUCAUCUGUUGUCAAGAAAACAUUCUUCAUGGGUUCCCACUGUGGCUCAGCAAGUUAAGGACCUGACAUAGGGUCUGUGAGGAUGCGGGUUUUAUCCCUAGCCUCUGUCAGUGGAUUAAGGAUCCACAUUGCCAUAAGCUGUGGUGUAGGUUACAGACACAGCUCAGAUCCCACGUUGCUGUGGCUCUGGCAUAGGCCAGCAGCUACAGCUCUGAUUCGACCCCUAGUCUGGGAUCCUCCAUAUGCCGCGGGAGCAGCCCAAGAAAUGGCAAAAAGACAAAAUAAAAAUAAAAAUAAAAUUUUUUUAACACUGUAACUUCAGACCAAACAAAACCCUCUGGGGACCAAAUCACCAACUAUGUGCAGACCUCUUGGGUCACCUUACUCAGAGAUUUCCUUAUGGGAGAACCUCUCUAUUCUGAAAAAAAUGACUUUGUCCAAUAAUUGUUUCCACUCCUACUUCUCCAAGAAAGAUAAGGGACAUGUUGGAUUUUCUUUGUCUUUCCAGUGCCCAGCAUAGUGAGUGGCUCAAAAAAGCAUCUUGGAAUUCCCAUCAUGGCUCAGCAGGUUAUAAACCCAACUAGUAUCAUUGAGGAUAUGGGUUUGAUCCAUGUUCUCACUCAGUGGGUUAAGGAUCCAGCAUUGCCAUGAGUUAUGGUGCAGGUUGCAGACACAGCUCAGAUCCUGCAUUGCUGUGGCCAUGGCACAGGCUGUCAGCUGCAGCUCCAAUUCGACCCCUAGCCAGGGAACUUCCAUAUGCCACAGGUGUGGCCCUGAAAAAAAAAAAAAAAAAAAAAAAAAAAAAGGCAUCUCAGUUAAUUUUACAUUGAUAUUUCUUGAGCCUGAAAACCAAGGUAGAGUGUGCAGAUGGGAGAUCUUUCUAGGUAGGUAAAAGAAUCAAAGUGUUCCUAUUCUAAAUGUCCCUCUUUCUAAAGAGGAAAGAUUUUAUAGAUAUCAUAAGCCUUGGUCAAUAUCUGAUUUCCUUAGAACUGUCUGGAACUCAUUCUACAAAGCUCCAAAGCCCACUCCAUAGUUAGCAACACUAGAGUCAGUGCUGAAAAUAUAAACCUAAUCUAUCUAUAUAUGAUUAAUCUGUGCCUGGCACGUGAGUGAAUAAUUUAAUGAAUGAGUUAAAUCUUUCUGAAAGAACCCCAACUCAAGUGUCACAUGUGACACUCUUAAUUUUAUUGGAAGGUGACCAUAGAGCAAAUCCCGGACCAGAAAGAGACAUAUUGUCUCUGAAACUGUAGACAAGAAGAAGAAAAUGGUGAAGGCUAGGAUGUAGACAACUUAGAAGAUUCAGUGAAAGCAAAGACAAUGAGUUUUUUUAACUUUUUGGAUGCCCACAAUCUUUGAUCUGAUGAUGCAACUUCUAGGCAUUUUUUUCUCAAAGAAUAAUUGUGCAUAAAUAUUUGGCUGUAAGUAUGUCUGCUGCAGCUUUGUUAAACUGGUACAACCACUAUGGAGAACAGUGUGGGGGUACCUUAGAAAACUAUACGUAGAACUACCACAUGACCCAGCAAUCCCACUCCUGGG